ACUUAAAUUGAAGAGUUUGAUCAUGGCUCAGAUUGAACGCUGGCGGCAGGCCUAACACAUGCAAGUCGAGCGGUAGCACAGAGAGCUUGCUCUCGGGUGACGAGCGGCGGACGGGUGAGUAAUGUCUGGGAAACUGCCUGAUGGAGGGGGAUAACUACUGGAAACGGUAGCUAAUACCGCAUAAUGUCGCAAGACCAAAGUGGGGGACCUUCGGGCCUCAUGCCAUCAGAUGUGCCCAGAUGGGAUUAGCUAGUAGGUGGGGUAAUGGCUCACCUAGGCGACGAUCCCUAGCUGGUCUG
rnacentral:rRNA from 1 species